rnacentral:hammerhead_ribozyme from 1 species
AUCCAGUCGCCGAGUCCCAAAAUAGAACGAAACGCGCGUUCUGGAU